UUAUCUUACCGGCUGGUAGCAUGCAGCUAAAGACACAGUGUAAAGUUAUCUUACCGGCUGGUAGCUUGCAGCUAAAGACACAGGAUAAAGUUAUCUUACCGGCUGGUAGCUUGCAGCUAAAGACACAGGGUAAAGUUAUCUUACCGGCUGGUAGCUUGCAGCUAAAGACACAGUGAUAACAUUAGCUCACCGGCUGGUAUCAUGCAGCUAAAGACACAGGGUAAAGUUAGCUUAGCGGUAGCCUGCAGCUGCUCUUUUCCAAACACCAUGGCCGCUGCCUGAGUCGGAGAUGACGGAGA